rnacentral:rRNA from 1 species
UACGUAGGGUGCAAGCGUUGUCCGGAAUUAUUGGGCGUAAAGAGCUCGUAGGCGGUCUGUCGCGUCGGAUGUGAAAACCCAGGGCUCAACCCUGGGCCUGCAUUCGAUACGGGCAGACUAGAGUUCGGUAGGGGAGACUGGAAUUCCUGGUGUAGCGGUGAAAUGCGCAGAUAUCAGGAGGAACACCGGUGGCGAAGGCGGCCUGCUGGGCAGUUGCUGACACUGAGGCGCGACAGCGUGGGGAGCAAACAGG